GCAUUUGACGUCGGGGAUGAAAUCCGACUCCCGUAGGAGUCCGGAUGGAGUCUACCUACAGUUGAAGUCGAGGAUGAAGUCCGGCUCCCGUAGGAGUUCGGAUGGAGUCUGCCUGCAAUUGAAGUCGAGGAUGAAGUUCGGCUCCCGUAGGAGUCCGAAUGGAGUCUGCCUGCAGUUGAAGUCGGGGAUGAAGUCCGGCUCCCGUAGGAGUCUGGAUGGA
rnacentral:lncRNA from 1 species